rnacentral:rRNA from 1 species
GAUGAACGCUGGCGGCGUGCCUAAUACAUGCAAGUCGAGCGAACAGACGAGGAGCUUGCUCCUCUGACGUUAGCGGCGGACGGGUGAGUAACACGUGGAUAACCUACAUAUAAGACUGGGAUAACUUCGGGAAACCGGAGCUAAUACCGGAUAACAUGUUGAACCGCAUGGUUCAACAGUGAAAGACGGUCUUGCUGGCACUUAUAGAUGGAUCCGCGCCGCCUUAGCUAGUUGGUGAGGUAACGGGUUACAAAGGGAACGAUGCGUAGCCGACCUGAGAGGGUGUUCGGCUACGGUGAAAGUGGGACACGGUCCACACUCCUGCGGGGGGCAGGAGUGGGCUUCUUUCGGCAAUGGUAGGAGGCCUGACGGAGCAAGGCCGCGUGGCAGGACAGGGUCUUCGGAUGGAAAGGCUCUGUGUUUAGGGCUGAACAAAUGUGUACGUAAGUUUACAGGUCUUGACGGUACCUGAUCAGAAAGCCCCGGCUAACUACGUG